UUUCCGUAGGUGAACCUGCGGAAGGAUCAUUAUCGAAGCAAUGCUACCUCUCGAGGCAGCAAC
rnacentral:rRNA from 1 species